rnacentral:rRNA from 1 species
UUGCAGUUAAAAAGCUCGUAGUUGGAUUUCUGGGAGCGUGCCAAUGUCCGCCCUGUGCGAGCGCAGCGGCGCGCUUCCAUCCUUCUGUUAACGCCUCUUGGCAUUCACUUGCUGGUGGCGGGCUCAGAUAUUUUACCUUGAGAAAAUUAGAGUGUUUCAGGCAGGCUAGGCCGGAAUACAUUAGCAUGGAAUAAUGGAAUAGGACUACGGUCUCUUUGUUGGUUUGAGGGACUGCAGUAAUGAUUAAUAGGGAUAGUUGGGGGCAUUAGUAUUUAAUUGUCAGAGGUGGAAUUCUCAGAUUUGCUAAAGACUAACUUAUGCGAAAGCAUUUGCCAAGGAUGUUUUCAUUAAUCAAGAACGAAAGUUAGGGGAUCAAAGACGAUCAGAUACCGUCCUAGUCUUAACCAUAAACUAUGCCGACUCGGGAUCGGGGGC